AACGAACGCUGGCGGCAGGCUUAACACAUGCAAGUCGAACGCCCCGCAAGGGGAGUGGCAAACGGGUGAGUAACGCGUGGGAAUCUACCUAGUUCUACGGAACAACACAGGGAAACUUGUGCUAAUACCGUAUACGCCCUACGGGGGAAAGAUUUAUCGGAAUUAGAUGAGCCCGCGUAAGAUUAGCUAGUUGGUGGGGUAAUGGCCUACCAAGGCGACGAUCUUUAGCUGGUCUGAGAGGAUGAUCAGCCACACUGGGACUGAGACACGGCCCAGACUCCUACGGGAGGCAGCAGUGGGGAAUAUUGGACAAUGGGCGAAAGCCUGAUCCAGCCAUGCCGCGUGAGUGAUGAAGGCCUUAGGGUUGUAAAGCUCUUUCAGUAGGGAAGAUAAUGACGGUACCUACAGAAGAAGCCCCGGCUAACUUCGUGCCAGCCGCCGCCGUAAUAC
rnacentral:rRNA from 1 species